UUUACAUUUAUGCCACCUCAAAUCAAGGGAUGUGAGAGAGAGACAGAAACGCACCCAUUUGGCUUCGAUUCCCCUUUCUCAAACCCUAGCAGGCACAACACCAUCUCUGGAGUAGCAUCGGCUCCUGCUUCCUAAAACCAAAACACACUUCCCCUUCGCAGGUUGGGGACGAGGACGAACGACGAAUCCGGACUGAGUCAGCUCGGCCGCCGCCGCAACCCGCUCAUCGUCUUCGUUUCGCUUCAAAUAUCCGAGCUUUUCUACAUGUCGGUGAAGUACAAAUUUCUUCCAUAACUCUCGAUUCAACCUCAUCUCUUCUCAUUCGGUAAGAUUAUUACACUACUUUUAAGAGAAUUGAAACUUGAAAGAUUCAAACUUUUGGAUGGUCGAGAAUCUGGAUUUUGUGCAGAAAAGAAAAACAGGGCUGUUCAGUGUUUAUCUGUACUGGUUUGUCUUGCGGAAUUAUUAUUUCAAAUGAAGCUGUCGGCCAGCUUCUGUUUUUUCCUCCAGUCUGCUGCUUCAAUCAGAAAAAUGCCAAAAGAAAAGGAAGGCUACUUCUUAUCCUUAUUUUCUUCCCCAAAACAGGGAACAAACACAAAGAUUUUAUUUAGCCGAAAGUGAAUUUGGCCACAUAUUCAACAGUUUUUGCAGAAAAAUGAUGAAUGUGCAGCAAAGCAAUCAGCGGUAUGGGCUGCACUGAGAGAAGGAAGGGGGACAGAAGGGUUGACAGGUUGGAGGGAGAAGUUCGCCGGGAUUUAGGGGAGAGGAUUUUCGGCAGUGAGGUGCGGGUGGCUGUGGCUGUGGCUGAUGCAUCGGUCAGAGGGUUGUUGGGGGGACGAGAGGAGGGGGACAAAGGGACUGACAGAUUGGAGGAGGGUAUGGGUUUUCAGUUUUCAGUUUUUUUCCCCUGAUUCUGAUUCAAUAGGUGAACCAUAUGGACGUUUUUGAGAAACAGAGAGCUUCGUCCACUGGAAUGUGGAAUUGAUAGCAGCAGGUCAAUCCCCAAUUUUUAUGACAGCCUUCGCACUUGGGAUACACUUUCAAGUGAUCUUGAGGGUCCUCGGGUAGGAUGUAUUAUAUCUUUCCAGUAUAGACUGAAGAGUGUUUCAAAGCAUGAAAUAAAAACAAUUUGGCUUUU